rnacentral:rRNA from 1 species
CACGUAGGGUGCGAGCGUUGUCCGGAAUUACUGGGCGUAAAGCGCACGUAGGCGGAUUGUUAAGUUAGGGGUGAAAUCCCGGGGCUCAACCCCGGAACUGCCUUUAAUACUGGCAAUCUCGAGUUCGAGAGAGGUGAGUGGAAUUCCGAGUGUAGAGGUGAAAUUCGUAGAUAUUCGGAGGAACACCAGUGGCGAAGGCGGCUCACUGGCUCGGUACUGACGCUGAGGUGCGAAAGCGUGGGGAGCAAACAGG